CAGUCGAACGAACUCUGGUAUUGAUUGGUGCUUGCAUCAUGAUUUACAUUUGAGUGAGUGGCGAACUGGUGAGUAACACGUGGGAAACCUGCCCAGAAGCGGGGGAUAACACCUGGAAACAGAUGCUAAUACCGCAUAACAACUUGGACCGCAUGGUCCGAGUUUGAAAGAUGGCUUCGGCUAUCACUUUUGGAUGGUCCCGCGGCGUAUUAGCUAGAUGGUGGGGUAACGGCUCACCAUGGCAAUGAUACGUAGCCGACCUGAGAGGGUAAUCGGCCACAUUGGGACUGAGACACGGCCCAAACUCCUACGGGAGGCAGCAGUAGGGAAUCUUCCACAAUGGACGAAAGUCUGAUGGAGCAACGCCGCGUGAGUGAAGAAGGGUUUCGGCUCGUAAAACUCUGUUGUUAAAGAAGAACAUAUCUGAGAGUAACUGUUCAGGUAUUGACGGUAUUUAACCAGAAAGCCACGGCUAACUACGUGCCAGCAGCCGCGGUAAUACGUAGGUGGCAAGCGUUGUCCGGAUUUAUUGGGCGUAAAGCGAGCGCAGGCGGUUUUUUAAGUCUGAUGUGAAAGCCUUCGGCUCAACCGAAGAAGUGCAUCGGAAACUGGGAAACUUGAGUG
rnacentral:rRNA from 2 species